GCCAUGUGUGCAAAAGUAGAAUAUCAAUACGCUGCAGCUUCGUUAGGUUAAAAUGCUACACGUGUUGUAAGGCAUCAAAUGCAUGUACAUGCUUAAUUCCUCUCUUCAUAUGCGUAAUAUUAAUGAUUCAUCAAUCUUCACGUCAUUAAAGUCCAUUGAGCUCCGCUCCUCCCUUUUCUGUUUUCUUGGUUUUCUUCUUUCUUUCUUCUAUUUUUUCCCCACCAGGUAGGUGUUCAAUGCUGCAGAUCUAUUUCCGAGGUAUUUUGCGUGGGCACCACACGCCAUGCCGCAAUGAGAAGCUGAGGAAUGAUCGCAACAAGGUAGCAAGGCCUAGAAGGUGCUGGGUGAAGAAUGUAAGGGGAAGGCUUAAGGGCCUACGCUUAUCACGUUCCAGAAAGCUCAGUUUGAAGACAUUUUCCUUUUUGAUAGUUCCAAACAGGAUUACAAGGAUCUAUGCAGAUAUUGUAGAUCGAAUGAAGAUGGAUGGUCUAUGUCCCAGUAUCAUCUUGUCUACUCACUGGGGACUUCCCACCUUAUCUCAUCCCUCGCUUUAGAACAGAAAGGACAUCAUCUUUCUUGCACAAAUUUAAUUUCUGCUUCUACUGACGAGUUUUCGUCUUCCAGGGAUUGUUAUGAACUCAAUUUGGUUCUUCUUUUUUGCUGUACUUUUUCUAAUUCCUGUACGGUAAUUAAACCACUACCUUUUUAUCAAAUAUCAUGUAUAAUUAUAGACCAACAAAUAGGUUUAGGGGUAAUAAGAACUCCAUCGCUUGCUUCAGUGCCAAGAUCACUUCUACCUCUAAGGAUUAGCCUCUUGAUAUACUCUUUUUUGGAGCAGUGAUUAAACUCAAAGAUUAGAAUG
rnacentral:lncRNA from 1 species